GCGGGGGCCACUGACCAGCAGGCAUAGACUUCACCUUCUCUGGCCCCCGGCCCUUCCCGGCCUGGACAGGAGCGGACCGAAGGGGCUUGGCGUGUACCACACAGGCUGUGCCGGGAGUCCAAGAAGCAGCCUUAGGAAAGAGAGAGUUCUGAAUACCUUUGCAGAUGGAAUGUUCUAUUGUCAAAGACGCUCUUCAGUUCCUUCUAGAGCAACGUCACUUCUGCAUGGAGCACUAAGCGGGAAACUGAGCAAGGACGGAACGCAGUCAAGAAGCAAACUUGAAGUCGACAUUACUGCUUCAGGGGAACGUGGGGUAAUGAGGCCUCCACGGCUGGCUUGUUUAGAGACGCUGGCACCCAGAAAAGGCUCAAGACUCAGAAUCUGUUGCGACAGGAGAGGCACCACUUCAGCUGAGCGAGAACUCAAGCCCUCACAUCUCUAUGCGAUGUCACCGAACGCCCUUGGGACAUUUUCAAAGAGCGUCCAUCCGUCCACCCAUCCACCCACCCAUCCAUUCAUCGAUCCUUCCAUCCUUGCAUCCAUUCAGCAACAAACACUGGUCACCGUCUCUGAGCCAGGCCCUAUCCAGGGGCACCAUGCUGAGCCCGUACCAAGCCUCCACCGGAUGGAGGUUACAUUCUAGUGAUGGGAAAGAGGUAAUCCAUGUGGGAAGCUCAGGUGGGUGUCCGUGCCAUACAGAAAGACGUAGCAGACGUAGGAAGAGGAGGACGCCCUGUUUUCAAGGGGUUUGCAUGCUAAUGACAGGAAAUGGACAACGACCCAUGAGCAGAUCAAAUACGCGUGGGUGUGCAUGUGUGUGCACACGUGUGUACGUGUGAGUGAAUAAACAGGGUGCCCUGACAGAGAAUAAUGGGAAUGUCACUUAGAUGGAAGUGACAGGCCAAGGACUGAAGGACGGAGAAGGAGUAAUGGAGAGAGAGAGAGAGUCCAGGCAAGGGGAAGCCCCUGCAGUGGGGAGAGGGACAGAGAUGCUGCAGAGGGCCCCGUCUGUGCCCAAACGGCCCCGCGUCUCACCUGAUCUUCGCGGUGCCUCUACUGUCCCGUUGCUGCUGUGACAAACGUCCGCAAACGUAGGGGUUUAGAGCAACACAAACUUAUUCCCGUACAAUUCUGGAGGUCAGAGGUCCACAACGAGUCUGGAGGGGCUGAAAUGAAAGUGCUGGGCGGGGCUGGUUCUCUCCGGAAGUGCCCGGGGAGAAUCUUCCGGGCGCAGAGGCUGUGAUGCGCUUUUUGGUUCCUCUGCUCCCUGCUUCCGCCGGCUUCCUGCUGACUCUGGCCCUUCUGCUUUCCUCUGAGAAGGACCCUUGCGAUGGCAUUAGGCCCAUGGAGAUGCUCCGGAGUAAAGAUCGCGUCUGAAGA